CAGCAGCCGCGGUAAUACGAAGGGGGCUAGCGUUGCUCGGAAUGACUGGGCGUAAAGGGCGCGUAGGCGGUGCGGAUAGUCAGAUGUGAAAUUCCUGGGCUUAACCUGGGGGCUGCAUUUGAUACGUCCGCGCUUGAGUGUGGAAGAGGGUCGUGGAAUUCCCAGUGUAGAGGUGAAAUUCGUAGAUAUUGGGGAGAACACCGGUGGCGAAGGCGGCGACCUGGUCCAUAACUGACGCUGAGGCGCGAAAGCGUGGGGAGCAAACAGGAUUAGAUACCCGCGUAGUCCCUGUCUCUUAUAU
rnacentral:rRNA from 1 species